rnacentral:rRNA from 1 species
UACGGGGGGGGGUAAGCGUUGUUCGGAAUUACUGGGCGUAAAGGGCUCGUAGGCGGCCAACUAAGUCAUACGUGAAAUCCCUCAGCUUAACUGGGGAACUGCGUGUGAUACUGGAUGGCUUGGAUUUGGGAGAGGGAUGCGGAAUUCCAGGUGUAGCGGUGAAAUGCGUAGAUAUCUGGAGGAACACCGGUGGCGAAGGCGGCAUCCUGGACCAAUAUUGACGCUGAGGAGCGAAAAGCGUGGGGAGCGAACAGG